GACCGGGAAAGGCAUUGUGUGUGUGCUGUCCUGCGGGGAUGGAUACAGCUCUGACAGUGACACAGAGAGGCAGAAGAUGGGACCUGUACCCAAGGAAGAUCCAAAGUGAAAUCAUCAAAGGGUAGAAGCCGGACAAGCUGAGCUGUUCUAGACAUCAGGAGAUAUCCCUAGAGGAAGGAGCACUGGAAAUGCACAGAAAGGAUCCUUUUGAUGGGAUGAUGAAACAAGCCUGUCUCCAAGGCAAGCUGUACAGUGGACACAAUUUGGGCACCCUGCAUUGUUUGGAUUCUCAUCUUACAUUUUGCUGAUUUUUUGCAUUGAGAUUUGCACUUCAACACACAGGUUCCAAGCUACUCUUGAUGCUAAAUCCAGGCUGUACUAGGAAAAUGAG
rnacentral:lncRNA from 1 species